rnacentral:miRNA from 1 species
UCAGGGCAUGACACGGGUUCGAG